rnacentral:rRNA from 1 species
AGUGAACGCUGGCGGUAGGCCUAACACAUGCAAGUCGAACGGCAGCACAGUAAGAGCUUGCUCUUACGGGUGGCGAGUGGCGGACGGGUGAGGAAUACAUCGGAAUCUACUUUUUCGUGGGGGAUAACGUAGGGAAACUUACGCUAAUACCGCAUACGACCUACGGGUGAAAGCAGGGGAUCUUCGGACCUUGCGCGAUUGAAUGAGCCGAUGUCGGAUUAGCUAGUUGGCGGGGUAAAGGCACACCAAGGCGACGAUCCGUAGCUGGUCUGAGAGGAUGAUCAGCCACACGGGAACUGAGACACGGUCCGGCCUCCUACGGAAGGCAGCAGUGGGGAAUAUUGGACAAUGGGCGCAAGCCUGAUCCAGCCAUACCGCGUGGGUGAAGAAGGCCUUCGGGUUGUAAAGCCCUUUUGUUGGGAAAGAAAAGCAGCAGGUUAAUACCCCGCUGUUCUGACGGUACCCAAAGAAUAAGCACCGGCUAACUUCGU